rnacentral:rRNA from 1 species
AGUGAACGCUGGCGGUAGGCCUAACACAUGCAAGUCGAACGGCAGCACAGUAAGAGCUUGCUCUUACGGGUGGCGAGUGGCGGACGGGUGAGGAAUACAUCGGAAUCUACUUUUUCGUGGGGGAUAACGUAGGGAAACUUACGCUAAUACCGCAUACGACCUACGGGUGAAAGCAGGGGAUCUUCGGACCUUGCGCGAUUGAAUGAGCCGAGGUCGGAUUAGCUAGUUGGCGGGGUAAAGGCACACCAAGGCGACGAUCCGUAGCUGGUCUGAGAGGAUGAUCAGCCACACUGGAACUGAGACACGGUCCAGACUCCUACGGGAGGCAGCAGUGGGGAAUAUUGGACAAUGGGCGCAAGCUUGAUCCAGCCAUACCGCGUGGGUGAAGAAGGCCUUCGGGUUGUAAAGCCCUGUUGUUGGGAAAGAAAAGCAGCAGGUUAAUACCCCGCUGUUCUGACGGUACCCAAAGAAUAAGCACCGGCUAACUUCGUG